UACGUAGGGUGCGAGCGUUGUCCGGAAUUAUUGGGCGUAAAGAGCUUGUAGGCGGUUUGUCGCGUCUGCUGUGAAAAUCCGGGGCUCAACCCCGGACUUGCAGUGGGUACGGGCAGACUAGAGUUCGGUAGGGGAGACUGGAAUUCCUGGUGUAGCGGUGAAAUGCGCAGAUAUCAGGAGGAACACCGGUGGCGAAGGCGGGUCUCUGGGCCGAAACUGACGCUGAGGAGCGAAAGCGUGGGGAGCAAACAGG
rnacentral:rRNA from 1 species